rnacentral:rRNA from 1 species
AUGGUUGCUGAAUGGAACAUUGAGAAUACAAGGAUUGUCACCGAGUUGUUUGUCAAGCAAGUGAGAGCUGGAAAUAGGCCAAAUACUCACUUGACCUCGAAUGCAUAUGAUGAGGUGGGGAGGGAAUUCAAACUAAUAACGCUGGAGUACAUCAAUGACCAAUUGAAGAACAAAUGGGACAAACUGAGAGGUGAAUAUAGCAUUUUCAAGAAACUUAAGUUGAAGGAGACAGGAGCGGGAUGGGACAUAGAGCGUAACACUGUGAAACAAGAUGCGGAGUGGUGGAAGAAGGCAAAGAUAGUGAGUUUUCAUCCUCAUGUUGUGCAUACCAUAUCUUUCUUCUCUUUAAUUGUUGUUAACAAAUGCUAUCAUCGUUCUAUAUUUACAGGACAUUCCAGGUUGUUACAAGUUCAUGAAGCAUGGACUUCGCAAUGA